rnacentral:tRNA from 1 species
AUUAUUUUGGCAGAUUAGUGCAUUAAAUUUAGAAUUUAAUAAUGUAAUUUAUAUUACAAAUAAUAC